GACGAACGCUGGCGGCGUGCCUAAUACAUGCAAGUAGAACGCUGAAGGAGGAGCUUGCUUCUCUGGAUGAGUUGCGAACGGGUGAGUAACGCGUAGGUAACCUGCCUGGUAGCGGGGGAUAACUAUUGGAAACGAUAGCUAAUACCGCAUAAGAGUAGAUGUUGCAUGACAUUUGCUUAAAAGGUGCAAUUGCAUCACUACCAGAUGGACCUGCGUUGUAUUAGCUAGUUGGUGGGGUAACGGCUUACCAAGGCGACGAUACAUAGCCGACCUGAGAGGGUGAUCGGCCACACUGGGACUGAGACACGGCCCAGACUCCUACGGAGGCAGCAGUAGGGAAUCUUCGGCAAUGGACGGAAGUCUGACCGAGCAACGCCGCGUGAGUGAAGAAGGUUUUCGGAUCGUAAAGCUCUGUUGUAAGAGAAGAACGAGUGUGAGAGUGGAAAGUUCACACUGUGACGGUAUCUUACCAGAAAGGGACGGCUAACUACGUG
rnacentral:rRNA from 1 species